rnacentral:rRNA from 1 species
UGGGGAAUAUUGCACAAUGGGCGAAAGCCUGAUGCAGCGACGCCGCGUGAGGGAUGACGGCCUUCGGGUUGUAAACCUCUUUCAGUAGGGACGAAGCGCAAGUGACGGUACCCGCAGAAGAAGCACCGGCUAACUACGUGCCAGCAGCCGCGGUAAUACGUAGGGUGCGAGCGUUGUCCGGAAUUACUGGGCGUAAAGAGCUCGUAGGCGGUUUGUCACGUCGUCUGUGAAAUCCUAGGGCUUAACCCUGGACGUGCAGGCGAUACGGGCUGACUUGAGUACUACAGGGGAGACUGGAAUUUCUGGUGUAGCGGUGGAAUGCACAGAUAUCAGGAAGAACGCCGAUGGCGAAGGCAGGUCUCUGGGUAGUAACUGACGCUGAGGAGCGAAAGCAUGGGUAGCGAACAGG